AGUGAACGCUGGCGGUAGGCCUAACACAUGCAAGUCGAACGGCAGCACAGUAAGAGCUUGCUCUUACGGGUGGCGAGUGGCGGACGGGUGAGGAAUACAUCGGAAUCUACUUUUUCGUGGGGGAUAACGUAGGGAAACUUACGCUAAUACCGCAUACGACCUACGGGUGAAAGCAGGGGAUCUUCGGACCUUGCGCGAUUGAAUGAGCCGAUGGCGGAUUAGCUAGUUGGCGGGGUAAAGGCCCACCAAGGCGACGAUCCGUAGCUGGUCUGAGAGGAUGAGCAGCCACACUGGAACUGAGACACGGUCCAGACUCCGACGGGAGGCAGCAGUGGGGAAUAUUGCACAAUGGGCGCAAGCCUGAUGCAGCCAUGCCGCGUGUAUGAAGAAGGCCUUCGGGUUGUAAAGUACUUUCAGCGGGGAGGAAGGGAGUAAAGUUAAUACCUUUGCUCAUUGACGUUACCCGCAGAAGAAGCACCGGCUAACUCCGUG
rnacentral:rRNA from 1 species